GACGCGGUGGCCUAAUGGUUAGUGCAUUCGACUCCAGAUCGAGCGGUCUGGGUUCGAGCACCAGCCGGGGUCA
rnacentral:tRNA from 1 species